GCCUCGGUGGCGGAACUGGCAGACGCGCUCGACUCAAACUCGAGUUCCUCACGGAGUGUGGGUUCGAGUCCCACCCGAGGCA
rnacentral:tRNA from 1 species